CUUUGUGCAAGGAUUAGUCCCAAAACUAUUCAUCUAAAAUUCUUAAUUAUUUGGCAUUACUUGUGAAUAAAUCAAGAAAUCUUGGAAGCUGGAAGAUUCUUACUUUUUGCUUGUUUAUUUUUUAUUUUCAUUUUUUUAGUUCUUUGCUUCUUCUUGUAAUGUUGUCGUUAUAACUUUGGAUGUUUAUAACUAUCAACAUUGUGAUGCACACAGUUUCAUUAACAGAACAGGAUUCCACUCACUUUAGUUAACAUCGUUGUGUUUAAUUUAUGCCCCCUUUGCAUUGUCGGAAGCCUUUAUUCCUUUCCCAAAAUGUGUAAAAGAAAAAAAGAAAACUAGAAACCAAAUUAUGUGUGAUUUAAUUAGUUUUACAGUGACUAUGAGAAAACCACAAAACUUUUUCUAAAAUGAUGGAAACUCGAUUUACGACCUUGAACCACAUGUCGAAUUCUUUAUUCACCAGAAUAAACCAAUGGGCCACACGCUCUUGGUUCAUGAGGCGUGUUUACCUAACAAUCACCACUAAUAAUUGUGUCAAAACUUAUAAGAUCCAUUAGAGUAAAAAUUUGUAGCACUAUGUACGAUCUUGUUUGCGUUUGUUAAAGAUAAUGGGAAAGAAAAAGUCUAAAGUAACAAAAAAGUGGUCAUUGCAUGCUGAGCAAUGCAGAAUUUGGUCGCCGGAUAUCCCUUGGAAGAUCCUUUCUCCUUCACCUUCUCCACCAGGAGCUACACUUUUUUUUUAACAUUCCACCACGAGUUACACAUAUAUUGAUAUAUAUGCACGUAAAAAUGGGUGAUUUUAUAUAUAGAUUUGUACGUGUGUUUUGUAUAUAGACUUAUAGAUAACCGCAUAGCCCCAUACAAAAACAUAGCAUGCAUACAUGCAAUGUCUACAAGCAACACCAAAAGGAAUAUUCCAUUAGUUAUUUGAUUCGUUGAAAUAUAUCACACAAUUUUUACAAAAUAAAAUAAAAUAAAAAAGAUUUCACUUCAGCUAUGUUUAUUCUUGUUGAGUUGAUUGUACUAAUUACAGAAACAUACUUUAUAGUACAAAGAGCAUGUGUCAUCACUUUGCACUAACUCUUUUUCAAGUUUCACUUACUCGUUUCACAUGCACUUUCUAUAUAUAUAUAUAUAACCUUCUUCAUAGACCUUUCACAAUCGUCAUCUCUCACCUCCGAAAGCAUGCCUAACAACAAGAGCAAACACGAGGCAAUACCUCAAGACAAAGAUCUUCCGGGAUCACCGAUAGCUACUACAUGAAUAUGAACUCGGACGAGAGGAGAUGGGAGAUCGAGAAGUUGACCAAGGUCUUGGUCAACGGUAACCACACUAGUCCAUUAUGAAUCUCUCUCUCUGACCGGGCAAUUUCGGGACCUUUGGCAAUGUUUCUCUUGGUAUCUCUAUUUAUGUUAUUGUGUCUUGUCUAUCGGUUUGUAGUAAAUCUUCUUGUUAUCGUUUUGUGAACGGAACAUUUUUUCUUGUUUGCACUAUUUAUUUUUCUUGAGGAGCUGAUGACAAUAAUAUAUAAUCUCGCAACAA